GGGUUACCUGCCCCGAUGAUUGGGACAACCCGAGGAAAACUCGGGCUAAUACCAAAUGUGCUCCUGGCCGUGAUGGCUUGGAGGAAAGGAAGCUUCGGCCUCCGCAUCGGGAUGGGCCCGCGGCCCAUUAGCUUGUUGGUGAGGUAACGGCUCACCAAGGCAACGAUGGGUAGCUGGUCUGAGAGGACGAUCAGCCACACUGGGACUGAGACACGGCCCAG
rnacentral:rRNA from 1 species